UCUCUGCACAUCUAGUAAAAUUUAUAGAAAGAGUUUUUACUAUACUAUACUACUAUCCUAACACUAGGUGUCUCUAUACACAAGCUUAAACUGAAGCACUGUUAAUAUGGAGCAACUUUGAACUGUCGUCUAGGGACUUUUGGGGAAAUUGUUCAGGGGCUAUACAUGCAUAUAUUUUUUUUGUCAAUGCAGAUGAUUCAGAGUUUGACAUUAGACACUUGAACUGUCCAUCCUUUUAUUCUGUGCAGAAACACCCCAACAAAGGUCUUGGUUUUGAACUUAACCAGAAGUUUCAUACACUGCAUGUGCAAAAAUGAUAAAGCAGCUGUGUUAGAAGGCAGGAAAAACACGCUGUGUGUCUCGGACAACAUUAUUCCCUCAAUCCCUCCCCUCCAGGGUUUGCCUUAAAUCCUGGAUGGAAGCGGAAAACCUGGCAGAGCAGGAGGAGGAGAUGAGGUGAGAUGUUCCUCCACUGGGUCCUCCUCCUUCCUGUGUCAUCCAUUCACCUUUCUUCACUGUGUGGCAGUACAAAUAGAAGAGAAAAAAAGACCUCUGCGUGUCUCUGCAUGUGUGUGAGGAUGAGGCCGGGUUUUGUAUUCUUUCUGCAUUAUUUAUCCUUUCCCUUUCAGCCCAACCAUUCUAUUUUCAGCCGAUUCUUCAUCUGACGUCCUGCCCUGGAGGGGGUUAUCUGGGGUUGGCCCGAGACACAACAGCACCAUAUUAUAAACACAUGUACGUCUCGCCCACAGGAAUAGCGGAGGUUAGCGUGGUCUGGAAGUGACGUGUAAAAGGGUUUGUGGUCUGCUUUACUUUCUCUCUGCUUUUGUGCAGUUGGAGGAAAUGCAUACAGUGCAGUCGUUCAAAGUGCUUGACAUUUUCAUUUGCUUGUUUUUCUAGAUGUGUUGUGGUCGUCAAAAGUAGUUGUUGAGCAGUGUACCUGCGUGUGAGCCCCUAGUCUACAACCAGGCCCCCAGUGAACAAUGAAGACUGCAAAGAAGAAAGCUGUAGGUGGGAUCGGUGUAUUAGCGGCUGGCUGCAGCAACACAACCAGGAGGACUUUGACUUGGAUAGCAGACGCGCUAUCCGACGCUAGCCGCUGACCGCAUCGAUGAUCGGGUGAAGUCCUUCGUCGCUCCGUCCAUCGCUGGAACGCAGGUGCAGUCAGGUGAUGUCUGAAGGAGCAGCUUCAUAUAAUUGCACAUCUUCACGACCUUCAUGCAGUCAUCAAUUGUACUCAUACCUGCUGAACCCAUUGAGUAAGAUAUGUUCUCCAUUUUUGAUUUGCAUAUUUAAUCAUAUCACUUUAGAGUUACACUACCGUUCAAAAGUUUGGGGUCACAUUGAAAUGUCCUUAUUUUUAAAGGAAAAGCACUGUACUUUUCAAUGAAGAUAACUUUAAACUAGUCUUAACUUUAAAGAAAUACACUCUAUACAUUGCUAAUGUGGUAAAUGACUAUUCUAGCUGCAAAUGUCUGGUUUUUGGUGCAAUAUCUACAUAGGUGUAUAGAGGCCCAUUUCCAGCAACUAUCACUCCAGUGUUCUAAUGGUACAAUGUGUUUGCUCAUUGGCUCAGAAGGCUAAUUGAUGAUUAGAAAACCCUUGUGCAAUCAUGUUCACACAUCUGGAAACAGUUUAGCUCGUUACAGAAGCUACAAAACUGACCUUCCGUUGAGCAGAUUGAGAGAUCACAUUUGUGGGGUCAAUUAAACGCUCAAAAUGGCCAGAAAAAGAGAACUUUCAUCUGAAACUCGACAGUCUAUUCUUGUUCUUAGAAAUGAAGGCUAUUCCACAAAAUUGUUUGGGUGACCCCAGACUUUUGAACGGUAGUGUAUGUUAAAAGAGGAUUAAAAAUACCAUGUUCCAGUUCACUGCUUUUAUUAAACCUUAGAUGUUGAUGAUAAUCAUAUUUUCAAUACCCUCACGCAUUUGUCCUUAAUUAAGAUUAAAGAUUAAAGUACCAAUGAUUGUCACACACACACUAGAUGUGGUGAAAUUUGUCCUCUGCAUUUGUCCCAUCACCUUGGGGAGCAGUGGGCAGCAGCGGCGCCGCGCCCGGGAAUCAUUUUGGUGAUUUAACCCCCAACUCCAACCCUUUGUUGCUGAGUGCCAUGACAAAAAAUGCCAGCUUUCUUAUAAAAAGCUUUUCGGUUUGAAAUAUAAAUAUAACAUAUGAUUUGGGAGUUUUAACUCUUUGAAGGACAGUAUGUUUACAGAGCUCCACUGUUUGAAAAAAACACUUUUCCCUAAAUACACACCAUUAUCCAAGUUCAAGACACACACAGAACACUGUGCAAAGAUUGACAUUUUGCUGCAUGCUUUGAAUGGGAAAAUAUAGCGUCGUCGUGUGGUCAAAUACAUGCUAUGUGGACAAAAACAAACAUUAGGUAGUGAAAGCCACUAGUCCCAAAUGAAAUCUUAACAUAAAAGACUGCAUUGGUUUAUGGUCAAAGGGUGAAACAAAAAUGGCAUUUUCAUUGAAUUUGAAUGGGAGAUUAUUUUUGUCAAGAGGAACAAAUAUGUCGCUUUUGUACUAUUACCAUCUUGGGCUAAUUUAAAGAACAGUGAUAACACCCCCCCUUAAUCCCCCCAAAAAAUCAUUUGGCAAAUUCAACAUAUUCAUUACUUGUCCAAUCACAAAAUGUGCAAUAAUGAUAGUAUUAUUAGGGAUGUAACAUGUUAUCAUGUAUGGAUACAACUCUUCCUAAAUUUGUAUCU